rnacentral:lncRNA from 1 species
CUUCUGAGAAAUUAGUUUCUCUCUUAAGGUAAAACCUGUGGAAGAGGCCAUCUCUCUUUUCCCUUGGGUGUUGUGACAUGUGAAAGACAGCCACAGAUUUUCGUUUGCCUAGGACAGUUCCAGUUUAUGCCCACUGUCCUACAGGGGACUGUUUGACGCCAGAGUGGAGACGGUCAGGCAGCCACUCGGGCCUUGGAAGCAAAGUCAAAAGUUGAAUGUACAGCUGGUAUAAAAAUGGUGCUUUGUCGUCAUGAAGAAGGUGUAUUCUGGGAUCAAACCACCUGGCUGGAGAUGCUUACUAACCUCAGUUUCUUCAUCUGACCUUACCUUUCUAAAAGAAUAAGAAGAAGAUGAUACAUAUUCCUCUAAAGUCCCAACAGGAACCUUUUCCCCUCACUCCCUCCCCAGAGAUGUGUAUCAUUUCCAUGAGUGUCUGUACUUUUACAACAUGUGCAUAUUAAUAAACAAAAUAUGACAAAUUAUUUUGUCUUAAUAUUUGCAUAAAUCUAGCCAUACUCUACACCACUUUUGCAACUUUCACUAUUAUAUAUUUUGAAGAUUAUCCGUGUUUAUGCACAUAAGUUUAUCAUUUUAACUGUUGAAUAGUGUUUCAUUAUAUGAAUUAACCAUAAUUCAUCUAUUUCCCUGAGUGACAAUUAGGUUUCUUUUUGUUUUUAUGCUCUGAUGAACAAUCUUGCAAUUAUUAUCUUUGUAUAUGUCUUCAUGUAUAAGAAAUUCUCCAGGGUAGACACUUAGAAGUAAAGGGUCUGACUCAGAGAGUCUGUGUAUUUUAAAAUGUAUUGGUUAUUGUCAAAUUGUUCCUCAAAGUAGAUGUACCAAUUUACAUUCCUACAGUGGUAUAUAACAGUUUUUUUUUCUCCACAUCCUCUUCAACACUCGUCAUUACCAG